rnacentral:tRNA from 1 species
GUUCCGGUUGCCUUAGUUGGUCGAAAGGUCCUGGCCGUUAACCAGACGCUGAAAAAGCCGCCGUGGGUUCGAAUCCUACCCGGAACGC